GAUGAACGCUGGCGGCGUGCCUAAUACAUGCCAGUCGAGCGAACGGACGAGAAGCUUGCUUCUCUGAUGUUAGUGGCGGACGGGUGAGUAACACGUGGAUAACCUACCUAUAAGACUGGGAUAACUUCGGGAAACCGGAGCUAAUACCGGAUAAUAUUUUGAACCGCAUGGUUCAAAAGUGAAAGACGGUCUUGCUGUCACUUAUAGAUGGAUCCGCGCUGCAUUAGCUAGUUGGUAAGGUAACGGCUUACCAAGGCAACGAUGCAUAGCCGACCUGAGAGGGUGAUCGGCCACACUGGAACUGAGACACGGUCCAGACUCCUACGGGAGGCAGCAGUAGGGAAUCUUCCGCAAUGGGCGAAAGCCUGACGGAGCAACGCCGCGUGAGUGAUGAAGGUCUUCGGAUCGUAAAACUCUGUUAUUAGGGAAGAACAUAUGUGUAAGUAACUGUGCACAUCUUGACGGUACCUAAUCAGAAAGCCACGGCUAACUACGUG
rnacentral:rRNA from 1 species